rnacentral:tRNA from 1 species
GCUGUGGCUCAGUGGUAGAGUAUCUGCUUGGCAUGAAGGAGGCGCCAGGUUCAAUGCUCGCCAUCUCCG